AGAAGACAUAAUGUUCAACCUGGCUUUCAAAGUUUCUCACCUAAUUUCUGCUCUUUGGUGGAGUCUCAGCAGUUGCAGCAGAGUGAAAAAGUCUUGUAAAGGCAGCACCAGCAAACAGGUCAGCUGAUGGUCAGCAUCACACUCCACUAGUUCAUCCGUACAACCCUAAAUGCUUCCAGAGGAGUAACUUUUGUGCCCCAAGGAACAUUUUUAAGAUCUACCUGUGCUAUUAGAUUUCAUAUAUGGAUUCUGUUUUUCUCAAACACUACAUUAAUUGGAAUGAGCAAGUUGCAUGCCUAACUGUGUAAGGAAAGAAAAGGAAGAUGUCACCAUACUGGAAAACCUCACCUGACUUCUCUUGGUAAAUAUGGUCUGAAUUUGAACUUGAAUUGAACAAACAUUAUUCAAGCUUCAAAAUGUUUGUGAAUAGCUAGACAAUGUUAUUAGAUAAUGUUUUUUAGAUAAACAAGUGUUUGGCUUGGUGCACCAUGGAAAUUAUUGUGUGUAAACAAAGUUGUCUUCAAUUGUGAUGAACAGCACAGAGAAGCAGCUCAGGUGAUGGUGAUCUGGGCAGAUCCUUCCCAUGUACACACCUCAGCGCGGCCUUGUGAGCCAGGCUGGCCAUAUCCUCUGAGGAGCAGACUUGGGCAAAAGGAGUGCAAAUGUCCCCCACUCUUCAUUCCCAAAUUACAAUAAAUGAACAAAGAAAAGCAGAAUUCUUAAACAGAAUGUAGUUACAGUCAGUUGGAAAGCGAGGAAGUGCACUGCUCUUUAACACAACACACAAAUUCCCAAGGUUAUUUCCAUGUGAAAAUAUAUUAAAAAAGAGAUUAAAAAGCCUGAAAUGGUAUUAACUGUGCAAACUCAGGUUACUUGCCUCAUCAGUGAGUCCAAGAACCCAAGCUUGCCUAACACUAGCUCCUCUAAAACCACUGAGCUUUAUGGCCUUCUUUAUGGUGAGAAUGUGAUAGAGUUUUACUAACUGCUCACAAAACCCUUUAAAAAACACGCCUCUUAACUUCUGAUAGAAAUGCACCAUUGCAAGAGGGACUCUCAGAAAUCCCUGUCACCCUUAAUUUAAACCUUCUCUCUACCUGUGCCUGACGCCAAUUAAGUGUUUCUUUAGAAAGCAAAUGUCCAAAGCGUGAAGAGGUACAUGCAGGAGAAAUAAAAGGAUAGGGAAGAAAGACGAAUGCGGAGAAGUCAAGAUCUAUGAUGACAUAUUUGCAUCUCCAUUUAGGUGGUGAAGAGCAGAUAGGCUGGUACCUCUGCUGAGUUAUAAUAGAUCAGGCUGGAAAAAGGUGAUUUUUUUUAAAAUUAGCCAGGUCCUGCAUUUCCAGCCCUUCGCUCCAUGCAAACCUGUUAAAUACAUGAUGCAUGAAAAUCCCAACAAUAAUAAAAAGCUGUAAUUACAGGCAUAAGGUGGAAGAAAAGUUUUGUUUUAAGAAUGGUAGUGUCAGCAGUGGUGAUAUCUCUGACUGUAGGUUGUUUCAUUGCAACAUUUUACCACUUCUUGCUAGUCCUGAUAAGGGUUGUAAAAGUGUAUAAAAACAGGCAACUUUGCCCUGUUUGACUCAUUUCACUUAAUGACUAUUGCUCAAGGUGGAUCAGAGAGAAAACAGAAAUGAAACUUUCUAUACUCAGGGCACACAAAACUUCAGAUACACAGGGUACUUCAAAGCACCUGGAAGUACUCUCUUCUUUAAUUGUAAGGCAUUUGUUUUUUGGCUGGUGAAAUCUGGACACUUCUAGUAAGGUUUUGGCUAAGAGCAUAAUGUCCUGAUUUGCACUAGUUCCCAACAUUUCCUGAGAUCUGUUUUUAAUGGUUUUGUAAGAGUGACGCUGACCUCUCGUUCACGGCAGCCCAGGCUGAGUCAGAAAACAGGCAGGGCGUUUUGGCCAACCGCCUUCCUUGUUAGUUAUGAGCAGCAGAGUAGUUUAAUAUUUGAAGCACUCUACUGGAACCGCAUUGGCUCAUUUAUUUGCAAACAUUUCAGGGAAAGGAAAACAAGCUGAGUGGUGGGGCAGGGCAGAUAAGGAACUGUGUUGUUUUUCUCUUCGCUGAUUAAUUUAUUGAUUUUGCAGAAAGAACUAAGUCUGAAAGUUUUAACCUUACUCACCUGUGUUGCAGUUUGCCUGUUUAAAAGAACAUGGUAAAAUCCCAUUUAUGCCAGGUUGGUUUGUUCCAGUUACUGCUCUCCUUGCUCUGGUGUCAGACACUUCCCUCACGAGCACAUUAGAUUAAAAAAAAACCUAUAACUGCGUGGGAAAAAAAUGUAUAAAGUCUUCUCUGAGUUAGUUGUAUCCCUAUUCAAAUCCCACUGCAACAAAGCUCAAGAAAUGCUGGGUGCUCACAGAUCUUUAUGGCUGGGGCAGCAGCAACCCACUGCUGGGGUCUCGGAGCUCCCUCUCCACGAGCCUUAGUUAAGGUCCUAAAAUGCCAGUAUGUCAGUCAGCUAAUUUCUUCCUUAUGAAAUAGCUAAGCCUCCUCAGCUGCUGUGGGGAGUAUAGUAUUUUCAGAGGACUCUGCCCGCUCCCAAGCCUGCAGCAGCUUGGGUGUUGUUGGACUCCAUCAAGGAAGAAAACAGUAAAACUGCUCCGUCAGUGCAAGUGCCAGCUCACGAUGGCAUGUUGAUGUAUUCGCCUGACUAAACACCACUGACACGCUGGUGAACUGGUAGGUUAUGCAAUGCAUUGCACAGGUAGGCUGUAGAAAACAUACAGUUUAAGAGAAACACAAGCAGCUGAAUGCUGGGCAAGUCACGAAUUCCCAGUCUUUGGCUGCUACAGCUCCAUUUGGGAGCAGAAGAAGGGCUCGGUGGGCUCCAGACUAGUUGUUUGGAUUAAAUUCAGUCUCUUCCUGCAAGCCUAAAUGAGUGAAGAGUGAACGCCCUCAUUGUUUUGUCUCAGUGUUUACAAAGGGCUGGCAUGUGCGCAAGUGCUGUGCUGUUCCAGAGAGCCCAGAGAAGUGUCCCAGGCGAUGGAAUUCCCCCAGCCCCACCUGGGAGUCCCCCCAGCUCCCCCAUGGGCUGGCUCUGCCCGUGGGAGAGCUGCUACCAGGGCUAGUGGAGGCACGACGGUUUAGCCCAGCUCAUCUCCAAGCCUUGCUGGGUUUUGUUGCUUUUUUACAUUUUCCUCUCCCCACUCAAAUGUGCUUCCCACACAGUAAAGAUCCCCUGGCUUCCAAGAUGUUAUUUAGAAAAAGGAUUAAGUAUUGAAAGGAAAAUCAUCUUCUGCUCUAACUUGCUUUUCAUCUGGAAAAAAGUCUGGAAAAUUUCCUUGUGAAUCCUGGCACAUAUUAGCUUUUAAUGAUCUGUGUGCCCUCAUUGAUUUGAAAUUGCAAGAUAGUUGGUUUUGCUCCCAGCUCUGGAAACUGCGGUUGAGUCAAGCUGCGUUGCUUGGACACAUGCAAGUCAAGUUUGGUGGCUCCUGUCACAAAGACAAGAAGGUGCUGAGUUAACCCUGUUGCCCUUCACUGAUUACACAUUAGUAAACAAGUCUGUUGAGGAUGUUUCAGGAGGAAGAGCACCCAGCUGUCUUGGGUCUGCUGGGUUAAUAUGCAAACAGUGAACGACUUUUCACAGCUCAGGAGAUACUGUUCUGGGCAGGCAUAGGAGAGGUCCCAUGGUAAGAAUAAAUUCUACUUGAGGUAAAGUUGCAUUUCAAAGUGACACUGAAAAGUAAGUUAAAAUUGGGAUUUACAUUUUGAGGUAAAGGCUCAAAGAGAUGGAAUGGGUUGCUGAUGCAAUUAAGCAUAUGUAUUUGCCUCAAAGGUGACUGGUUAGGGGACUUUUUUUAGUUCUUGCUUAAACUCAGACACUCCCUUGGAAACUCAGGUGAGAAGAUUGCCAGCCCAAGAAAUCAAGGUGAUGACACUCAUCGAAACAGAAGGCCCAAAUUCAUGCCAAUAGCAUCAGUUUCAUCUAAAAAAAAAAAAAAAAAAGACCAUUAUAAACCUAGAGUCAGGCUAUAAUCCUUAAUGAAGUGGUUUUAGGUUUGUAAUAUUGCAACAUAUAUAUGCAUAUAUAUGUCUGUAUGUAUAUAUAUGAAUAUAAUUCAUAAUACGUAGUUCCUUAGAGCAUGCCUAAAAAUACACAUUGGCUCAGGCUGAAAGCUUCCGUCUCACCAGCUUCACCAUAUCGUUCAUGGUGAGCAGUGCAGUUGCACAGCCCAGUUCCCAUGUCCCAACCCCCCAGGACCAGGUGACUGUGCCCCCUGCACUGGGACAGACUCCCCCGUGCUCCAUCACCCCGUCUAAGCCACAGACUAGAAACAUGCACAGCGAGAGCCAAAUAACCACACACACCCCAACCGGUUUUCAAAAUCUGAAAUAAUAGCAGCUAGAUCACUUAAAAAAAAUCCUUAGGGUGUGCCAAGGACCGAAAGAGAUGCAUGCUGAGAACAGUUCUGAGUUCUUUGGGGUUUUUUUUUGCACAUGAAAUCUGAGUAAUUUCCCAUUACUGUGAGUUUUACGCCUUGUCUAUGCAUGAAUUCACAAGUCAGGGGCUGUGUUGCCACAAAUGUUUUGGUUCAGUUCCUGCAAGAAGGCUUUCGGUUUUAUAGCGUGUAGAACUAGUCAAACAUGUCUUUGUUUUAAAUGCUCCCUCUGCUGGCUAUAGUGCGAAUUAUUAUAUUUUAAACAAAAGCCUCCAACUAGAAUUCGAUUGUAAUGAAAUUACUAGGUUAACAGUAAAGAUUCCUUUUCUUUAUUCCUCCACCAUACUCUGACUCCCACAUCUCGAGUGUUCUGCACCUGCCAUAUAUUGACACAGUGUUUGUGGGAGAGGUAGUUGUCUAUGACACCAAUUAUUAUUGCUGCUUUAAAGCUCUCGAUAUAAAAUACAUUCUCUCAUUUAACAAACUCUGCCUUUGCUAUACGUCUAGACUUUCUUAUGAAGUGAAGUGCUGUGGCUUGUAGAGAUUCUGCUUCAGAAAAGAACAAGUAAUUUUGAUGGAAAUAUUUUAUGUUGUCUUGCUUAUAUAGAGUCAGAAAGAAUUAUUUAAAAUAUAGUUUCUGUAAAAACAGUUUUAAAGGACCCAUUGCAGGGUCUCUUUUUUGUUUUCUUUUACCUGUCUUCCUGUUGAACAGUUGAUAAACACUUUAAAACGCUAUAGAAAAUAAUUGUGAAAAAUUAUUAAAUUUACGUUAGGGGUAAAAGUCUUAUAUAAAUGAUGUGCUGCCAACUACUUAAAAUCUAUAGAAGAAAUAAAUGCCAUCGGGUUAGUGCCGGAAAAAAUGGAAUGAAGAACAAGGAGAAAACCUGUACCUCCCCUAGGGGUGAACAAAAUGAAAGGCAACUCAGCCCAGAAGAGUUUUCUAAGUGUGAGGUGAGGAGAACAGCCCGGCCAGGAGGGUAUAUAUGGCAGAGUAACGCUUGAGUUAAGAUGCCUCAUGUACUCAUCUAGUGCCAUUUGAAGGUGCUGUUGAGGAUUUUGUGCCAGAGACUUUGUCAGGUCUCAGGUGGCAGCUCAGAGUCCAUUGGGUGCUCACUGUGCAUCCUCCCGCAGUAGCACCGGGCAUGGGGUAAUGUGCACCCACCCCUGGGAGGCACAGCCCAGCCUUGCCCAGCCUGCAAACUCAGCCUUUUCACUGAAUCUAAGCAAACAUGAUGGGAAAAAAAACUGUUCUGUGGGGCCCAGCCUGUUUUUAAUGCAUUCAAUUGAAUGCAAGCAGGAGAAUGGCUCCUGCUGAUUUAAAAAUAGGCUCAGAAGUAAUUUGAAGCUUUUUUGCUCAGCACUUUUUUUCAUCAGGGGGAAAGCUUUAUAUUCUGUGAGAGUCACAGGAACCUGCUGGACAAAAUGUCAAACCCCCACAUUAGGAUAUUUCAAAAGUAAUACUGAUAUGAGCUUUCACAAAUGAGAGAGCAGGGGAAGAAAAUGGGUGACAGUUCAGAAAGAAAGAAUGUGAAGGGAAGGCAAAUAGGAAUGGAAAUGGAACUAGGGCUUCCACUGGCUAAAACAGUGACACUGAUGCCUCUGCUACGUGAAAACUCAAAUUGGAAAUAUUGUACAUUGGGCUGAAAAAAAACAACAAAACAACCGAACAGAAAAAAACCCACAACAAACAAUGGUCCUGGAGAAACAAACGAACCAACCAAACCACAAAACAAACAAACAAAACCCCCAAGCCCCUAAACAAACAAAAACAACAUCACAGAUCUAUUUAACUUUAUUUCUUUGUUCUUCAUUUUGAUAGCACAUUUCAAUCACAGUUGCCAAUUGGGUCUUACAAGAUCUUUCACCUCCACUGGGAAAGAAGCAAAUAAUGGUAAUGCAUAAGAUAUUGAAUGUAUUCACGUCACAUUUGUUGUACUUUGGAGUUCCAAAUAUCAUAAAUAAGAGAACAUUAAACAGGCUGGUUUUGUUUUGAACAACAUAAUUGUUACAGAUCAUAGCAGCUUAAAAGGUUUAAGACAAGUUAAUCGACUUCCAGUAUGUUCAUUUGAAAAAGUUUCUAACAAAGUUUAGUAAGAGAUUUAAAAAUAUACCCAUGAUGCACCUACUUAAAAAAUAUAGAGGCCCAAACACUACAAAACAAUGUUUUAAAGAUUAAGCAUUUCUGUUUAGUUUGUAGGACUUAAACCCAUGAUGGCCUUUCUACUUUGCCUAGGGAUGUGAUUUUGGAAUUACUUUGAUAAAGGUUAGGAAAUACAGCUAAUUUGUGAUUUCUAUACACCACAAAACAUCUUUAAAUUAGUCUGGGUUUCCAGAAAUGCUGAACACCCACCCUUUAAGAGAUUCCAAGCUAGGCAAACAAAACCUCCAUUUAUUCCUGCAAAUAUUCAUCAAAAUACUAGAGAGACCUGCUAAUAUAGUUCCCAGGUCCCGAAAGCAGGAUGCAAAUGCCUAUAGGUUCUUUUUUUUGUUUAAAGCUUACAUUUGAAUGCUUUGAUGGUAAUUAGGAAGAUAUUCUUGCAUAGAUAAAAAUCUAAUUGUAGGAGGGGAAACAAAAAAAAAAAGCUAUCUUCAAAAAGUAGCCAGCCAUACUCCUUGAUUUAAUGAAAUGUAGACAGAUUUAUUGAGUAUCUUCUUUUCCAAGAGUGACUUUGUAGUAUGCGCUAGUGAAAUUUUGUUACAAAUACUCGAUCGGAUCCUACAACGUGCAAAGUGCCCUAAGCUGCUCUGUGAAAUAACCAAGGAAUGAAGUUGCUGGGUACGCCUGAGGAAACGCUUCAGGAGAUGCAGGACUAAACACCUGAAGAAAUCAGGAUGUUGCAACAUGCAUUUAAUCUUCAUCUCUGGCUACUGGGCAGCAGCUUUCUGUAACCGUGCCUGCCGGCCAUCAACUUCCAACUUCGCGUACCAGGACUACGUGCAAAGGAGAACAAAGCAAUGUAGGAGGAAAGGUGAGUUUGGACUAACACUUACUCUAAGGUUUACUCUGAAUUUUAAUCAGGUGUCUUGUGCAGCAAUAUACUGAAAGGUCUUCUUAUAGCUGGAACUCAGACCUUUUUUUACCUGUUACAGGAUCCAUCACAUAUCUUUGCAGCUAUCACAUACUUAAACCAUGUCACUGCACGAUAAAAGUAGUCAGGAUAUUUUGACAGAACUAGGUAAAUAUUGUAACAUCUCAUCCAAGUUGUGCUGCGAUCUUAGAUGUCGCAUCAAGCUAUUGAUAAUUUAGUAAACAUAUUCCAUCCAGUUAUAUACUUACUACCGUUUCUUGUGCCAAGACUUCAAUGUGCUUCAGUGCAUGAAGAAAAUUUACAACUGACUCCAUUAAUAUGUAUUCCAGCUCUCCAUUCAUUUCAAUGAAAAAAACAGCAGCAAUUAUAUUAUAGCUUCAUAGCAGAUAUUUAUAACUUGGCUAUCAACACAUGCUGAUCUAAAGCUUUGCAGAUAGCUCUCAAGCAAACUUAAUUAUUAUAGAACUUAUAUUAACCACUUUCUUUUUCCAGUAUUACAGUUACUACUAUCUUUUAAUGACAGCAGGAGGAAAUAAAUUACAUCUUUUCUGACAUGGGUUUACUCUGUGGGAAAUCCAGGAAGAAACGUGUUGUUACAACUCAGUGUAACAAUAUAUUUUUAUUCUCUUUAAGUCAUAGUUCAAAAUCAGGUAAAUGGAGCUGUCUCCAUACAGAGGAAAAGGACUCUGGAGCAGAUUAGUAAUUUGUCUUUUGAAUGGACAUAACUUUGGUUGCUGUUUUAAGUGUAAAUUAUAUCUAUUGAAGCUGUGCUUAUGGAGGAAAGAGGGUUUAAAUCCAGUAAAAAAGUUAUAAGUCUUCUGCAGUGUUAACUGGGUAUCUUGACCAAAGCUUAUUCUGAUUCAGAUUGCCACUCAGCUGCUCUAAUUCCAUCGAGUCUUUGUAAAAACUAAAUGGAAGAAGAAUCUGGGCCACUGUUGAAAAAGCUUUGGCUUGUGACCUCCGCGUGAACCUAAGCCCAGAAAUGAAUUUCAGCCUGCAUGACUGAGCCGACAUUGAGGCCUUGUCCCAUUAAUAGCUUUUCUUAAUACUUACAACCACAUUAACAUCCUGAUGUUUCUAGGAAGCAAUGAUUCAGCACAGCCACUCUCUUAUUUAAUUCAGAUAUCAAUCGAAGUGGACUGCUCUGUAUAUAUUUUCAAUGACAGAAGGCAGUUUGCUCUACCAGUGCCUUUUUUUUUUUUUUAAAGAACUUUUCAGAAUCCUGCCAUAAGAACCGCUCUAAUGAAAUUGUCUUUGUCAUGAUCUCCCAACAGCCAAGAAGCCUCAUCUUCUGGUACUUUGGCAGCAGCCAGGACAGAGAUGAGCCAGCUGCACAGGAGGACCCACAACAGAGCAACACCACCCGUCAUGGCCAUCAAAGAAGGAUGGAAAUUCCAAAGCUAUGGGGGCCGUUCAGUGCCUGCCAGUCACCCUCGUGUCCCUGUGCUUCACCUGCACCUGUGAAUUCAGCUUCACAGCUACUUUGCGAGGUAGGAAAUUACUGCUCCCUCUCUUGCAGAAGAAGAAAGUGAGGCGUAAAGAGAUUAAGUUGUUCUCCUGGGGUCCCACAGGAAAUCUGUGGUAAAGCUAAGGACGAAUUUAAUCCACUACUUUAGUCACGGGACAGCCAUUCUCUCCUCUUUGCUAGAAACACUGGGCUUUUGACACAUCCUUUGCUUCUGCAAGCAGUAAGCAUCCUGGACAACACACAGUGUCCCAAGUUGUUUCACUUCCCUGUCUUGCUGUCUGGAAUUUACAGACUGGCUCAAACUGUAGAGAUUGUUGCACAACAAGAUCAUCUUACCUCACGUUUUGGGUCAGUCUCCAACACAAAGUUUAGCUGCAAAGAUCAGAUUUAAAUCUUCCGUAUAGAUUAGAGCCCACUUCUGUUCCCUUGCUGCCAUCCUUCCAGUAAGCAUGAAAUAUAAUAAACAUUACAAGCACAAAAGAAAAGUCAAUGAACAAGAACUACUACUAAUUACAAACAUUAGUGCAAAUGACACAGUAGAUUUUUUUUAGUAGCUUGUAUGUUCUGUAAGGAGGUCAUGAAGCUGAGGCUUUAAACACAGACAAAGCCACAUUCUUUAGCCAAAUCAGUAGUCAGCUUUGAAGCUCACUCACAUAAACCACCUGGAUUCUGCUGCUACACAUAGUAUUUUGUCCUAUAUAUUUCUAUGCAAGCUGUAAUACUUUUUAUUGAAAAUAUAUUUAGUCCUGUGCUUUUAUAAAAUAUAAAUAACUAAAAAGACUAAAUUCCAAAGCUGAAUUACAUGUUUGGCUAGGAGACUUGUCUAGCAUGGUCUUAACUGCCCAGAAGACCUUUUUAUUUUUUUCAAAUUUAAACGAGCCAUUUGACUAUGUGCCUAAAGCUGACACUUAAAUCCAUGCAUGACAUUAAAAUGCAUGGCUCCCCUGUCAAAGGCGAGACUGCUCACACUUUCUUUGACAGCAAGUGCUCACCGCUGUUGAAAACUAGCUCCCAUUUUUACAUAUUCACAUGUAGAUGUAGGUGUUUGGCUUAUCUCCCAUCACUCAAAAAUUGAUGGCCUUUGUGACUAAUUAAGAGUCAAAGCUUGAGAGCUGCAGCCAGUUAAGAAUGCUACAGGAAUGCUGAUCUCCCUGCUCAACAUUUGCUUAUGUUUGGCAAUAGUCAUCUGAAAAAAAGGGGGGCGCCAAAAAAUAAUCAAAGUUGGAAAUGGUAUUUCUCAAAAUUCUUUGCUGGGCAAGGUCAAUCGAGCUAGUAAAUGCUGUAGUUAGUCGUCUGUAACUACCCCCCACCAGCAGCUGCAGUUGAACGGAUGAAUUUGGAAAAGUGCACUUUUUUACUGUUUGCUCUUUAGCAAGAACAGACACCAGAGAUGGGCACCCUGUGUCUUCUGGAGAGAUUUCUCUUCAGAGGUUUUCAUCCAGCCAUUUGAUGUAGCUGUUCCUGGUCUGAACACCCGCUGAGAAGUCAGUAGGCCAGAUGGUGAAUAUCAUACAGCCAUGAAAGCAGUCAUCAAAGUGAUCGAGCGUGACUUCCACGCCGGCGUUCUCCAAGCGCUUGGCAUACAUCACCCCAUCAUCUCGCAGGACGUCGUUCUCACAGGUCAGGAUGUAAGUCUUGGGCUGCAUCUGCAGAGUUUCAUUGUCUGCAAGGAGCGGGACUGCUCGUACAUCAAGCAGUGCUGGGAUCUCCUGGAUGAUUUCAGCCCUGCCUGUGGUUUGUAUUAAAGGCUUGUAGUUCUUUUUGAAUGAUGAAGGUAGUAGAGAUGUCCAGUUCAGACGUCCUCUGAAAGACAGAGCUUCGCCAACAUCCAGAGCAGUGUGGUUGUUAAUCAGCAGUGAGUGAGCCAAGUCAUAAUUCCCAUUGAAAUAAUCUAUCCAAUAGUUGAUCAUGACAUAACGAGGAAGAACAGGCAUAUUCAUGUUCUGCUGAUAAGAAGGUGUAUUGAAGUCAAACGCCUGAAGGACUGGGUAAAUUAAGGCCUGCAGUUUUGGUCUGACGGUCAAAUGCUCAUCUUUGCUAAGCUGUGUGAAGAAUAUAGGGUAGAAUUGGGAUUAUAAAGAAAAUAAACAUUACAAUAUCAACACAGAGUUUCAUGCAGGCAACUGCUCAUUUGACAAUUUUUAGGCUGAAUUCUGCUCUUAUGCAUAUAAUGUUGCUCUCUCGUCUGAAGUAUUAGCAGGGCGAUCUUUCUUAUUUUGUUAAGAUGGCCAUCCAGGCAGACUCAGUAUCCUGUCUCCAGCAGAAAACAAUGGCAGAAGCUUGUUGGAGGGUGUAAGAAAAAAAAAAAAGUAAAGUGGCAUUUUGCUAAUGCAAUUUCCAGUUAAACAAUGUGCAAUUGAAGAACUUCCUGAAUCAAAGGAGCUAUUCUUGCUUUUAACAGUUUUUAAUGGAUUUUUCUUCCAGGAAUUUAUCUAAUUUUUUUUUUUUUUGAGCAUAUGCAAAUUGUUGGCAUCCACAGUUUUCCCUAGCAAAGGCUCACCUUGUACAGAAUUACCUCACUGUGACCUGAACCCACCAUAUGCAUUUGAUUUUAUCCUACCAAUUAUACAUUUGGUACCCUCUAAUCUUUUUCUGGAAGAAUCAGCAAACACUUGUUUUGUUUCAUCUUCUAUACGAGAUUCAAAGUUCUCCAUCAUAUCCCAUCUUAUCCGUCUCUUUUUCAGGCUGAAGAACCUUAGUGUAUUUAACCGCUCCCUGAAACAGUCCCACGUCAUUGCUUUAAAAAGAAUUAUGCAUCAGGGAAAUGAACUAGGAAUGCUGCUUUCAAAACACGGGUUGGCGUAUCACC